rnacentral:rRNA from 1 species
GAUGAACGCUGGCGGCGUGCCUAAUACAUGCAAGUCGAGCGAACAGACGAGGAGCUUGCUCCUCUGACGUUAGCGGCGGACGGGUGAGUAACACGUGGAUAACCUACCUAUAAGACUGGGAUAACUUCGGGAAACCGGAGCUAAUACCGGAUAAUAUAUUGAACCGCAUGGCUCAAUAGUGAAAGACGGUUUUGCUGUCACUUAUAGAUGGAUCCGCGCCGCAUUAGCUAGUUGGUAAGGUAACGGCUUACCAAGGCAACGAUGCGUAGCCGACCUGAGAGGGUGAUCGGCCACCCUGGAACUGAGACACGGUCCGGACUCCUACGGGAGGCAGCAGUAGGGAAUCUUCGGCAUUGGGCGAAAGCCUGACGGAGCAACGCCGCGUGGGUGAUGAAGGUCUUCGGAUCGUAAAACUCUGUUAUUAGGGAAGAACAAAUGUGUAAGUAACUAUGCACGUCUUGACGGUACCUAAUCAGAAAGCCACGGCUAACUACGUG